rnacentral:rRNA from 1 species
UCCCAGUGGUACGGAAUAACUCAGGGAAACUUGAGGUAAUACCGUAUACGCCCUUCGGGGGAAAGAUUUAUCGCCAUUGGAUGGGCCCGCGUAGGAUUAGCUAGUUGGUGAGGUAAUGGCUCACCAAGGCGACGAUCCUUAGCUGGUCUGAGAGGAUGAUCAGCCACACUGGGACUGAGACACGGCCCAGACUCCUACGGGAGGCAGCAGUGGGGAAUAUUGGACAAUGGGCGCAAGCCUGAUCCAGCCAUGCCGCGUGAGUGACGAAGGCCUUAGGGUUGUAAAGCUCUUUUGUCGGGGACGAUAAUGACGGUACCCGAAGAAUAAGCUCCGGCUAACUUCGUGCCAGCAGCCGCGGUAAUACGAAGGGAGCUAGCGUUGUUCGGAAUCACUGGGCGUAAAGCGCACGU